UGGGGAAUCUUGCACAAUGGGCGAAAGCCUGAUGCAGCGACGCCGCGUGCGGGAUGAAGGCCUUCGGGUUGUAAACCGCUUUCAGCAGGGACGAGGCGAAAGUGACGGUACCUGCAGAAGAAGCCCCGGCUAACUACGUGCCAGCAGCCGCGGUAAUACGUAGGGGGCAAGCGUUAUCCGGAUUCAUUGGGCGUAAAGCGCUCGUAGGCGGUCUGUUAGGUCGGGAGUUAAAUCCGGGGGCUCAACCCCCGUUCGCUCCCGAUACCGGCAGACUUGAGUUUGGUAGGGGAAGGUGGAAUUCCUAGUGUAGCGGUGGAAUGCGCAGAUAUUAGGAAGAACACCAGUGGCGAAAGCGGCCUUCUGGGCCAUAACUGACGCUGAGGAGCGAAAGCUAGGGGAGCAAACAGGAUUAGAUACCCUGGUAGUCCUAGCCGUAAACGAUGGACACUAGGUGUGGGGGAAUAUUUCUUCCGUGCCGCAGCUAACGCAUUAAGUGUCCCGCCUGGGGAGUACGGCCGCAAGGCUA
rnacentral:rRNA from 1 species